rnacentral:rRNA from 1 species
GACGAACGCUGGCGGCGUGCUUAACACAUGCAAGUCGAACGGAAAGGCCCUGCUUUUGUGGGGUGCUCGAGUGGCGAACGGGUGAGUAACACGUGUGUAACCUGCCCUUGACUUUGGGAUAACUUCAGGAAACUGGGGCUAAUACCGGAUAGGAGCUCCUGCUGCAUGGUGGGGGUUGGAAAGUUUCGGCGGUUGGGGAUGGACUCGCGGCUUAUCAGCUUGUUGGUGGGGUAGUGGCUUACCAAGGCUUUGACGGGUAGCCGGCCUGAGAGGGUUACCGGGCACAUUGGGACUGAGAGAGGGCACAGACUCCAACGGGAGGCAGCAGUGGGGAAUAUUGCAAAAUGGGCGGAAGCCUGAUGCAGCAACGCCGCGUGCGGGAUGACGGCCUUCGGGUUGUAAACCGAUUUCGCAUGUGACGAAGCGUGAGUGACGGUAAUGGGUAAAGAAGCACCGGCUAACUACGUG